rnacentral:rRNA from 1 species
UCUUUUUCCACCGGAGCUUGCUCCACCGGAAAAAGANGAGUGGCGAACGGGUGAGUAACACGUGGGUAACCUGCCCAUCAGAAGGGGAUAACACUUGGAAACAGGUGCUAAUACCGUAUAACAAUCNAAACCGCAUGGUUUUGAUUUGAAAGGCGCUUUCGGGUGUCGCUGAUGGAUGGACCCGCGGUGCAUUAGCUAGUUGGUGAGGUAACGGCUCACCAAGGCCACGAUGCAUAGCCGACCUGAGAGGGUGAUCGGCCACAUUGGGACUGAGACACGGCCCAAACUCCUACGGGAGGCAGCAGUAGGGAAUCUUCGGCAAUGGACGAAAGUCUGACCGAGCAACGCCGCGUGAGUGAAGAAGGUUUUCGGAUCGUAAAACUCUGUUGUUAGAGAAGAACAAGGAUGAGAGUAACUGUUCAUCCCUUGACGGUAUCUAACCAGAAAGCCACGGCUAACUACGUGCCAGCAGCCGCGGUAAUACGUAGGUGGCAAGCGUUGUCCGGAUUUAUUGGGCGUAAAGCGAGCGCAGGCGGUUUCUUAAGUCUGAUGUGAAAGCCCCCGGCUCAACCGGGGAGGGUCAUUGGAAACUGGGAGACUUGAGUGCAGAAGAGGAGAGUGGAAUUCCAUGUGUAGCGGUGAAAUGCGUAGAUAUAUGGAGGAACACCAGUGGCGAAGGCGGCUCUCUGGUCUGUAACUGACGCUGAGGCUCGAAAGCGUGGGGAGCAAACAGGAUUAGAUACCCUGGUAGUCCACGCCGUAACGAUGAGUGCUAAGUGUUGGAGGGUUUCCGCCCUUCAGUGCUGCAGCUAACGCAUUAAGCACUCCGCCUGGGG